AUUUCUCAGUUGAGACUUUGGACUAUGGAUUUCUGAGUUAAUGCUGAAAUCUGUCAAGGCUUUGCAAGACUGUUGGGAAGGCAUGAUUGGUUUUGAAAUGUGAGGACAUGAGAUUUCAGAGGGCAGAAUGAUAUGGUUUUGCUGUGUCCCCACCCACCUUGAAUAGUAGCUCCCAUAAUGCCCACAUGUCAUGGGAGGGAUCCAGUGUGAGGUAACUGAAUCAUGGGGGUGGGUCUUUCCCAUGAUGUUCUCAUGAUAGUGAAUACGUCUCACGAGAUAUGAUGGUGUUAGAAAGAGGAUUCCUCUGCACAUACUCUCUUGCCUGCCACCAUGUAAGGUGUGACUUUGCUUCUCCUUUGCCUUCCACCAGGAUUAUGAGGCCGCCCCAUCCAUGCUCAACUGUGAGUUCAUUAAACUUCUUUACUUUAUAAAUUACCCAAUCUCAGGUAUGUCUUUAUUAGCAGCAUGAGAACAGACUAAUAACUUAGGGUUUCUGAUUUAGCGGUAUGUUGUGAAAAGAAACUAGAAUGCUUUUUUGGGGGGCGGACUAAAAAUUCCAUGUUACAAGUAUUUACAGGCUGCUUUGAACACUAAAGUCAAGAGAAAAAUCUAUAUUUUAAAUGUACCAAAUAAAGUCAUUCAUUGUUGUGGGAAGUCAGGGACCCUGAACGGAGGGACUGGCUGAAGCCAUGGCAGAAGAACAUAAAUUGUGAAGAUUUCAUGGACAUAUUAGUUCCCCAAAUUAAUACUUUUAUAAUUUCUUACACCUCUCUUACUGCAAUCUCUGAACAUAAAUUGUGAAGAUUUCAUGUACAUUUAUCAUUUCCCCAAUCAAUAUUGGUGAUUUCCUAUGCCUGUCUUUACUUUAAUCUCUUAAUCCUGUCAUCUUCGUAAGCUGAGGACGUAUGUCACCUCAAGACCCUGUGAUGAUUGCAUUAACUGCACAAAUUGUUCCUAAAGCAUGUGUGUUUAAGCAAUAUGAAAUCUGGGCACCUUGAAAAAAGAACACGAUAACAGCGAUGUUCAGGGAACAAGGGAGAUAACCAUUAGGUCUGGCUGCCUGAGAGCCGGGCAGAACAGAGCCAUAUUUCUCUUCUUACAAAAGUGAAUAGGAGAAAUAUCGCUGAAUUCUUUUUUCAGCAAGGAACAGCUCUGAGAAAGAGAAUGCAUUCCCAGGGGUAGGUCUCUAAAAUGGCCACUCUGGGAGUGUCUGUCUUAUAUGGUUGAAGAUAAGGGAUGAAAUAAGCCCCAGUCUCCUGUAGCACUCCCAGGCCUAUUAGGAUGAGGAAAUUGCUGCCUAGUAAAUUUUAGUCAGACCGGUUGUCUGCUCUCAAACCCUGUCUCCUGAUAAGACGUUAUCAAUGACAAUGUGUGCCCGAAACUUUAUUAGCAAUUUUAAUUUCACCGCGGUCUCUGAUCUCGCUCUGCCCCCAUUUGCCUUGUGAUAUUUUAUUGCCUUGUAAAGCAUGUGAUCUCUGUGACCCACACCCUAUUCAUACACUCCCUCCCCUAUAAAAAUCACGAAUAAAAACUUGCUGGUUUUGUGGCUCAGGGGGCGUCACGGAACCUGCCGAUAUGUGAUGUCCCCCCCGGACACCCAGCUUUAAAAUUUCUCUGUUUUGUACUCUUUCCCUUUAUUACUCAGACCGGCCGACACUCAGGGAAAAUAGAAAAGAACCUAUGUUGAAUUAUCAGGGGUAGUUUCCCUGAUAUUUGAAAAGAACCUAUGUUGAAUUAUCGGGGGUGGUUCCCCUGAUAACUCCUGACCAGAAAGAAUACUAUAUACACAUAAUACAUACAUAAUGAACUUAGCCAAACUUCUGCAACUGUGAGUGAUAGAUUCAUAUGAUUAAAGUCAAAUUUUGCUGUGUUGUAAUUUGUUGCUACACUGGACAUUUACUUCUUGGACCGCUACAUUUUAGAAAAUGCUUUUUAAGGAAAACAUAAAUGACAUUUUUCAUGUUCUUAAUGACUAGAUGUCUGUUUAGAAAGAGAGAGAAGAAAGGAUCUGUCUUCUUUUCGUUAAAAAAAAACAUGUAUUAAGUGGUCACUGUCACUAUUGGUGCUGUGAGCAAGAGGAUUUUGUCACUUUGGUAUUCAUGUAUACCUCUUGAACUUCAAGAGGAAUGUUAACAAUUCUGCUUUACUUUCCAUUAUCACUUAUAAAAGGUUUGAGAAUGCUUCUUAUGUGUUUCUUUACCAAAUCUGAAUGCAUCAAUCCUAUUUGUAAGGCGAAGGUGGACACUCUUAUUUUGAAGCCUUGAUAUCUCCUGCAGAAGGGUUUUGGUACCACUGGGAUGUGGCACAUCUUUCUGGAAAGGGCCAGAGCAAUGGUGAAAAAGGGCCCACAGAUGGUUUGUGGAUAUGGUAGAGCCAUGCUAUUGCUACAAUUAUCACAGACACUGAUAAAUAACGGUCUACUGAAAUAAAACAGCUUUGUGCAUCCUUUAUCGUACUUCAACAGUCUUUCCAAGUUGAUGAAGUACAAUUCAGCAACAUGAUAUUGGCUCCUGCAUAGAAGAAUAAAGCCCAGAAUAGGGAAAGAGCACUGCUGCAGGUCACUGCUUAUCUCCUUGGUCUGCAGAAUGGCCACAGCCAGCAGCCUUCCUGCACACAUAAAAGGCAGUAGAAAUGAAUGUUCAGUCUCCUAAUUAACAAAUGAACGCAUGAGGUCUGCAUCAUUUUCCUGGGUUCUUACCAAGGGUCAGUAAGGAAAUCACUUCUUUGAAGUAUAUCCCCGUUAUUACCCGACAUUAUAAGUCAAGAGUGCUGUCUUUAGUGUCUGUGAACAUAUGUUCUCAGAAGAUUAGCCACAAAAUCACAAACUUAUGUGAGAAAAUUACUGCUCAAUUAAAGUAAUUUAUGGGAUCAUGUGCAGAAGAAACAUUAGAUAUGGCAACCAGAGUGAUUGGACAGUAUUUCAUAUUGUUAAAAGAGUGUUCUACAUGAUAAACUCUCAAUACAAACAGCUGUAAAUUACUUUCAAUUGAAAUGUGAUAAGGCUUCAAAUGAUUACAUUGAAUGAGCACAAGUGUUCAAGAAUCACAUCUGAAUGUUGAAAUUCAAAUGAUUUAUGCUGAAUUUCAAGGGCCCUCACUCAGUCUCACCUGCAAAAUGUCACUUCCAUGGUCCUAUCUCUUCUCUUCUCAUUUGCUUUCUUGCUAAUAGGUCAAACCAGAAAAUCUACUCUUUAACUUUCUCUUUGACAAUGUGUAUAGACUUUGUUUCAUCUUCUGUGUUUCUCUAAGAUGCCCCAUUAGUCCUAAACUAUUAAUACUUUUAGCUUUCCACUAAAUAAUCUAUAAGUGGUAGUAAGAAUUUAAACUAAGAUGUCUAUGUUGCAAGCUGGAAUCCUCAUGCAAGCCUUGAAUGGGCAUAGGACUGGAAACCUAUUUAAUUUCUUGAAGCUGAAGUAUUAUUAAGUAUUAUUAAUCAACAUCAUCAUCACCAUUGUCAUCAAGGAUAAUAUUAAUUGAGCAUUAACUAUGUACACAAUGUAAGGCAUAUUAUCACGUGGCUAACAUAAUUUUCAUAAUUGUUUUGUGAGUCAAGAAAUGUUACUCUAUUUUACAGAUUGAGAGAGUAUGGAUCAAAGAACAAAGUCUGAAUUUCAUUACCUGAGAGAAUUAGAAAAUGUCUAAAAUUGAAGCAUUUCUCAUUCUUUGAUUUUUACUUUAUGAUUACAAGUAGAUUUAUUAUCAAUCUGUGUUUCUGAGUAUUGUGAUUAAAAGUAGCUUUUGUGUAAUAAAAUUCAUAAUUACUAUAACACAUCAUUACUAGUAAAACUCUCUAAUUAGUUUAUCACAAACAGAAGCUCAGGCCCUCCCUCCAGAGAUUCUGAUUUAAUUUUACCUGGAUGGUUAUAAGGUACAGCCACAUUUGAAAACCACUGAUGUAACACAGUUAUGACAUUACUGAUAUGGCCUAGAAAUAGCCAAAUUGGGAUGUCAAAUUGAUUUCUGCCAGAUGCAAGUUCAAUAACUCAGUGGUUUGGUGUGCUCUGGUCUAUUCAUGAUAUAAGAUGCAAAAUAAAUGAACUUUAUUAUUUGGUUGGUGGUGGGUAUACUGAUUGCAAAAUUUUUAAACCAUUUCAACUUUCAUGCUGAGAAUAAUUGUAUGUCUCAUAUUAAGAGAAUCACCUGAAAUGACAUAUUACUUUGACAUAAUAUCCUAGAAUCAGAUGAGUCCGAGGUAUAUCUAACAUUUUCUAGAACAUAUUAACCUGUCUAAGCCAUGUGUUGCAGGACACAGAAGGAAACUCGAUAAAGUGAAGAAAACUUGGCAUUAAGAGACUUUACAUUUGGCUUUAGUUCAGGUUCUGCCUCUAACUAGCUAAAUGCUUAGGGCAUGCAACUGCCUUUUAUCUGCGUCAGUUUCUCCAUCUGAAAAGUAAGAUAUUAAAUGACUGCUAAGCUCUCUUGCAGCCUUAAUAUACUUUGAGUUCUAUGUUAGUGGCACGUAUGGUAAUUCACAUUCCAAAAAUGCUAUACUGGGAAAGCUCACUGUACUGUUUCAAAUCUCACUCAUAUCAAGAAGAAUGGGCUGAAUUCAGUAUCAGUCACUCAAAUGUUCAUCAGAUUCCUUAUGGAAUUUUUUGUUGUUCUUAUCCUGUUUCAAUAUGGAUUUUUUUUUCUUCAGGGAUAGUUUUCCUUUGUCAUUUGUGAUAAACUGACCUAAGGUAUUCAUUACAUAUUCUAUUGUGAUAUGUUUUAAUUUAUCCACAGCCUAACACAUACUCUACAAUAUUACGAUUACAGAGAAAGACAGAGAAUUGUGAGUUUUAAAACUAUCCAAAUCUCAGAGGAACUGUUUUGCUCACAGUAGCAAUAAUAAAUGCACAAAGCAUUGGAACAGGCGGAUUAGCAAUAGAAACGUAUUAAUGGGUUGUGGAAAAACCAGCUCACAUUUGCUAUUAUACUUUUCAGACUGAAAGGUUUCAUGCUUCAUAAUAAUCCGUGAUUUGUCAUAGGAAGGCAGAAAAUGUGGCCAUAGUAAAACUGAACCUUCAUGAAUAAGAGAGAGUUCCAUGUUGUUGGUUGAAUUUCUUAUCACAAAGAUGGCCCUUAGUAAGUUUUCAGAGAAGAGAAUAGGAGAGGGAGAAAGGAAGGGAAGGAGGGGGAGGACAGAGUAUAUGAGUGGGAGAUGGUAAGAAAAAGGGAGAGGGUAAAAAGAAAAGAAUAUAUUUUACUUAAGCCAGGUCAUAUCAAAUUUGGAAAGAGGAAAGUCACAGGGUCACAAAGAAUCACAAGACAAUAUUUAUGGGAUUUGAUUUUGUGAUAAUGUAUAGUUUUGUGGAUUCUGCAGAAUUUUUCCACGUAGUAUGUGCUAUGGAGUAGAAUAUCCUUGGCUACUUUGUGGCCCCUGCCAUUUCCUCUUCUUCAGUUCUCAGUGGGUGAACUUCCUUUGCCUCUGCCAUUGCCAAAAGCAGCCAUCAGGCCUGCCAACAGUAUGGUCUACCUCCCACAUAUAACACCUCUGCUGUGACCCAUCUCCUGUUAGAGCAGAAGAUGUCUGAAGCAAGGGUGCGAACGCUAGAGGGUUCUUUCAUGUUCUACUCACAUUUACUAGAGUUGGGUGGGAUGAUAUUCUGAGUGACAAUUAUCUGCUCUCAGAAUCACUCUUCCCUUAGGAAAAGGCCAUUCACGGGCUUCCCUCGACAAUAUAGUGACCUGACUAGACUUUAAAAAAUUAUUUCUAAGUUUGAGACUAAACUAAGACUUUUUCUGCAAGAAUAAAUACAAUUACACUGCAAUCAGUGUUUUAAGAUGCAGGGCUAGUGGAGUAACUAGGGAGAAAGAGGAUAGAAACGGGAUAUAAGAGACUGAUUUCAGGCCCUAGCUUUAAUAUUUACUAGGUUCUUGAAUAGAGGUAAGUUGUUCGAAUGCAUUAUGCAUUCUUAAAAUGUAAAUAGCCUAAAAUUAAUGAAAAUGAACCACAUGAAAACACUCUGUGAAGGGAUUAUUGGUUCCAAAAGUAAGGGAUGCCAUAAACUUCCAGGUUGAAGGAACAUGCCAUCUACAAUACAAAAAUAAAUCAAGUUAUUUCAGUUUUGUUUUCUGUAAUAUUAGAUACCAGAAGAUUACAGCAUUUGGGCAGAAAAAGAAUACGACCAAGGAUUUCAUACCCAAAUUGUCAUUCAUAUAUAAAGGCAACAGAAAGUCUAUUUGAAAUACAUAACACACCAAGAAAA